rnacentral:rRNA from 1 species
CUGCAGCUCAAGUGGUGAUCAUUAUUAUUGGGCCUAAAACGUCCGUAGCCGGUUUAGUAAAUGCCUGGGUAAAUCGUGUAGCUUAACUAUACGACUUCCGGGUAGACUGCUAAACUUGAGACCGGGAGAGGCUAGAGGUACUCCUGGGGUAGAGGUGAAAUUCUGUAAUCCUAGGGGGACCACCAGUGGCGAAGGCGUCUAGCUAGAACGGGUCUGACGGUGAGGGACGAAGCCCUGGGGCACAAACCGGAUUAGAUACCCGUGUAGUCC